rnacentral:tRNA from 1 species
AAAAAGUUAGUUAAAAUAUAACCUAAAUAUGUCAUAUUUAAAUUAUUAGUUAUUUCUGAUACUUUUUG